CCUACGGGUGGCAGCAGUGGGGAAUAUUGCACAAUGGGGGAAACCCUGAUGCAGCGACGCCGCGUGAGUGAAGAAGUAUUUCGGUAUGUAAAGCGCUAUCAGCAGGGAAGAAAAUGACGGUACGUGAUUAAGAAGCCCCGGCUAACUACGUGCCAGCAGCCGCGGGAAUACGUAGGGGGCAAGCGGUAUCCGGAUUUAAUGGGUGGAAAGGGAGCGGAGACGGCAGUACAAGUCUGGAAUGAAAUGCCGGGGUUUAACCCCGGAACUGCUUUGGAUACUGGGCAGCUAGAGUGCAGGAGAGGUAAGUGGAAUUCCAAGUGAAGCGGUGAAAUGCGUAGAUAUAAGGAGGAACACCAGUGGCGAAGGCAGCUUACUGGACUGUAACUGACGUUGAGGGUCGAAAGCGUGGGGAGCAAACAGGAUUAGAUACCCCUGUAGUC
rnacentral:rRNA from 1 species